GGCCUUUCGGAGCUGUGCGGCACGCUGAGCAGGAAUGGCAAUGUGGACCCCUGUGAUGGGACAUCUUGUGGGAUCUUACAGCCAGAUCUGUGGCAAAGGAGGAUGAAGGCUUAUGAGGACUCGUCAGGAAGCUGGAUAACAGAACGAGCGCAAUGUGCUAGAAUAGAAGACCAGAAAAUGAAAUGGUGGAGUUUGAGGCUGGAUAGACAGUUUGAAAGGUAAGUAUUGAAAAACACUUGAAUUUGGGUCAGUACGAAGGGACAUGCAGAGACUUUGAAUCAUCAAAACUCCAGCAUGCAUUGUCUUACCAAGAUGUUUAGAUAGGUGUGUUUUGGACAAUACUCGGGGUUCUUGUAAUGAUGUUGAUCAAAUGUCUGAGCUGAAAAUAACUUGUAGACAAUUUUUAACACUGAAGAACCCUGUGGCAGGCAACUAAGAAUAGUCGAAUGAUGUUUAGCAUAUUUGUAAGAGGUAUUUUCUUUUAAUCCUAGUUAACUGGUUGCAUGCUUGUUCAUUUGGCUGGCUUGCUUGGGUACAAAUGAUGGUUUGAAUAAAGAAAGAUAUUACGCAUGGGUCACCUCAAGUGAAGGCGCUGCAAGCACAAU
ensembl:processed_transcript growth arrest specific 5